rnacentral:lncRNA from 1 species
UAAGAAAUUACUCUUAUAUAUAUAUAUAUAUAUAUAUAUACACACACACACACACACACACACACACACACACAUAAAUGCUUAUAGAUAUUCAUACAUAUAUGAUAUAUCAAUAUGAGUGUAUAUAUUUAUAGAUUUAUAGAUAUAGUGACGCAGGCAAGGUACCUCAAUAAUGUAGAGGAAUGAUGUCAGUGACCAUCAAAGUUCAUAAAAAGCUUGCCUUUCCAAAACUAAAAUUUGGCACACUAAAGCUAACCCAAUCACAAAUAGGUCAAAGCAAAUUCAUUCUAUGAUAAGCCAAAAAUAAAAAUGAGCAACCUUUCUACAUUCUUGUUUGUUGAAAUUAAAUGACAGUAGAAAUAAACAAUAAUACAG